rnacentral:rRNA from 1 species
CCUACGGGAGGCAGCAGUAGGGAAUCUUCCACAAUGGACGAAAGUCUGAUGGAGCAACGCAGCGUGAAUGAAGACGGGUUUCUGCUCGGAAAGCUCUGUUGAUAGUGGAGAAAGAUAGAGGUAGUAAAUUGCCUUUAUUUGACGGUAAUUACUUAGAAAGUCACGGCUAACUACGUCCCAGCAGCCGCGGUAAUACGUAGGUGGCAAGCGUUGUCCGGAUUUGUUGGGCGUAAAGCGAGUGCAGGCGGUUCAAUAAGUCUGAUGUGAAAGUCUUCGGCUCAACCGGAGAAUUGCAUAAGAAACUGUUGAACUUGAGUGCAGAAGAGGAGAGUGGAACUCCAUGUGUAGCGGUGGAAUGCGUAGAUAUAUGGAAGAACACCAGUGGCGAAGGCGGCUCUCUGGUCUGCAACUGACGCUGAGGCUCGAAAGUAUGGGUAGCGAACAGGAUUAGAUACCCUGGUAGUC